rnacentral:rRNA from 1 species
UGGGGAAUAUUGCACAAUGUGCGAAAGCCUGAUGCAGCGACGCCGCGUGAGGGAUGACGUCCUUCGGGUUGUAAACCUCUUUCAGCAGGGACGAAGCGCAAGUGACGGUACCUGCAGAAGAAGCACCGGCUAACUACGUGCCAGCAGCCGCGGUAAUACGUAGGGUGCAAGCGUUUUCCGGAAUUACUGGGCGUAAAGCGUUCGUAGGCGGUUUGUCGCGUCGUUUGUGAAAACCAGCAGCUCAACUGCUGGCUUGCAGGCGAUACGGGCAGACUUGAGUACUGCAGGGGAGACUGGAAGUCCUGGUGUAGCGGUGAAAUGCGCAGAUAUCAGGAGGAACACCGGUGGCGAAGGAGGGUCUCUGGGCAGUAACUGACGCUGAGGAACGAAAGCGUGGGUAGCGAACAGG